UACGUAGGGGGCUAGCGUUGUCCGGAUUUAUUGGGCGUAAAGAGCGUGUAGGCGGCCAGGUAGGUCUGCUGUGAAAACUCGAGGCUCAACCUCGAGACGUCGGCGGAAACCAUCUGGCUAGAGUCCGGAAGAGGAGACUGGAAUUCCUGUGUAGCGGUGAAAUGCGCAGAUAUCAGGAGGAACACCAGUGGCGAAGGCGGUGCUCUGGGCCGGAACUGACGCUGAGGAGCGAAAGCGUGGGGAGCAAACAGG
rnacentral:rRNA from 1 species